UACGAAGGGUGCAAACGUUGCUCGGAAUCAUUGGGCGUAAAGCGCACGUAGGCGGCCUCGCAAGUCGGAUGUGAAAUACCUAGGCUCAACCAAGGACGUGCAUCCGAAACUGCAAGGCUUGAGUACAGAAGAGGAUCGCGGAAUUCCCGGUGUAGAGGUGAAAUUCGUAGAUAUCGGGAGGAACACCAGUGGCGAAGGCGGCGAUCUGGGCUGUUACUGACGCUGAGGUGCGAAAGCGUGGGGAGCAAACAGG
rnacentral:rRNA from 1 species